CGCACGGGUGAGUAACACGUAUCCAACCUGCCGUCUACUCUUGGACAGCCUUCUGAAAGGAAGAUUAAUACAAGAUGGCAUCAUGGGUCCGCAUGUUCACAUGAUUAAAGGUAUUCCGGUAGACGAUGGGGAUGCGCUCCAUUAGAUAGUAGGCGGGGUAACGGCCCACCUAGUCUUCGAUGGAUAGGGGUUCUGAGAGGAAGGUCCCCCACAUUGGAACUGAGACACGGUCCAAACUCCUACGGGAGGCAGCAG
rnacentral:rRNA from 1 species